rnacentral:lncRNA from 1 species
CACCCAGGGAGUAUGUGUGGGUGUGGGUGUGGGCUCCUACCCAUCGUGCACGUGACUGUGGUUCUGCAUCCUAGCUCACGAAGUUCAGCUCAGCCUUCAUCCGGAAAGAGCCCUUUGGCCUGGUACUUAUCAUCGCUCCCUGGAAUUAUCCUCUGAACUUGAUGAUCAUGCCUCUAGUGGGGGCCAUUGCUGCAGGAAACUGUGUGGUGCUGAAGCCAUCAGAAAUGAGCAAGAACACAGAGAAGGUGCUGGCAGAGCUGCUACCCCAGUAUCUGGACCAGAGCUGCUUUGCUGUGGUGCUGGGUGGGCCCGAGGAGACCGGGCAGCUGCUGAAGCACAAAUUUGACUACAUCUUCUUCACAGGGAGCCCUCGGGUAGGCAA